GACAGCAGUCGCCGCGGUAAUACGUAGGGUGCGAGCGUUGUCCGGAAUUACUGGGCGUAAAGGGCUCGUAGGUGGUUUGUCGCGUCGUCUGUGAAAUUCUGGGGCUUAACUCCGGGCGUGCAGGCGAUACGGGCAUAACUUGAGUGCUGUAGGGGUAACUGGAAUUCCUGGUGUAGCGGUGAAAUGCGCAGAUAUCAGGAGGAACACCGAUGGCGAAGGCAGGUUACUGGGCAGUUACUGACGCUGAGGAGCGAAAGCAUGGGUAGCGAACAGGAUUAGAUACCCGCGUAGUCCCUGUCUCUUAUU
rnacentral:rRNA from 1 species